AAUGAACGCUGGCGGUAGGCCUAACACAUGCAAGUCGAACGGCAGCACAGUAAGAGCCUGCUCUACCGGGGGGCGAGUGGCGGACGGGUCACGUAUAUAUCGGAAUCUACACUUUCGUGGGGGAUAACGUAGCGAAACUUACGCUAGGACAGCAUAAGACCGAGGAGUGAAAGCAGGGGAUCUGUGGAGCUUUCGGGGGUGAAUGAGCCGAUGUCGCAUUAGCUAGUUGGGGGGGUAAAGGCACACCACGGCGACGAUCCGUAGCUGGUCUGAGAGGAUGAUCCGACACACUGUAGUUGAGGCACAGUCCAGACUCCUACGGCGGGCCGCAGUGCGGAAUAUUGGACAAUGGGGGCAAGCCUGAUCCAGCCAUACCGCGUGGGUGAAGAAGGCCUUCGGGUUGUAAAGCCCUUUUGUUUGGAAAGAAAAGCAGCAGGUUAAUACCCCGCUUUUCUGACGGUACCCGAAGAAUAAGCACCGGCUAACUUCGUG
rnacentral:rRNA from 1 species